ACUAAAUAAUUUGGUUGGUGUUAAAACCGGUACCCAGUAUCGAUAUUGGGAAAAGCCAGUAACAGAGUUUAUGAUACUGGAUUAUGUUGAUACCGUUUUUUUUUGGCACAGUUGGUACAUCAGUACAGAUAAGUUUAAGAUCUUGACAUGGAUCCAAGAUGCUGGUAACUAGGCGGGACGGAUUGUUACACAGAACUGCAGGUUUCUGGAUGGCGACGGGAAAUCCAAUCAAGAAAACCCUGUCCCUCAAGCAGCUACUGUAUUUAACCAGCUCACACCAGCUAGGCCUCCUCCAAAACUCAGAUAAAUAUUUGAGCCACCAAAAAACGAGAACAGAUCGGUCUGAAUCGUUAUUAAGAACUGAAGCUAACAUCAUAGAGGUACAUCCUUCCAAGAAUCCAUCAAAACAACAUGCUGAACAACUUCAAGAACUCUCUUCAAAAGACCAUACUUUCCUGAAAUAAAUAAAUUUAAAAAGAUGCCAAUAUUAAAAUAAAUCAGUUACAUGUAUUGCUAAAUAUUUUAAUACUAGCUGUAAAUGCUACUGCCUUUGAUGUUUGCUUUCUACAUGUAUAUCAUAAUGAAAUAUUGACAAGAUAAUAGCUAAUGUUU